UGGGGAAUAUUGCACAAUGGGCGCAAGCCUGAUGCAGCCAUGCCGCGUGUAUGAAGAAGGCCUUCGGGUUGUAAAGUACUUUCAGCGGGGAGGAAGGGAGUAAAGUUAAUACCUUUGCUCAUUGACGUUACCCGCAGAAGAAGCACCGGCUAACUCCGUGCCAGCAGCCGCGGUAAUACGGAGGGUGCAAGCGUUAAUCGGAAUUACUGGGCGUAAAGCGCACGCAGGCGGUUUGUUAAGUCAGAUGUGAACUCCCCGGGCUCAACCUGGGAACUGCAUCUGAUACUGGCAAGCUUGAGUCUCGUAGAGGGGGGUAGAAUUCCAGGUGUAGCGGUGAAAUGCGUAGAGAUCUGGAGGAAUACCGGUGGCGAAGGCGGCCCCCUGGACGAAGACUGACGCUCAGGUGCGAAAGCGUGGGGAGCAAACA
rnacentral:rRNA from 1 species